GGGUUGUGAGGUUAAGCGACUAAGCGUACACGGUGGAUGCCCUGGCAGUCAGAGGCGAUGAAGGACGUGCUAAUCUGCGAUAAGCGCCGGUAAGGUGAUAUGAACCGUUAUAACCGGCGAUUUCCGAAUGGGGAAACCCAGUGUGAUUCGUCACACUAUCAUUAACUGAAUCCAUAGGUUAAUGAGGCGAACCGGGGGAACUGAAACAUCUAAGUACCCCGAGGAAAAGAAAUCAACCGAGAUUCCCCCAGUAGCGGCGAGCGAACGGGGAGGAGCCCAGAGCCUGAAUCAGCAUGUGUGUUAGUGGAAGCGUCUGGAAAGGCGCGCGAUACAGGGUGACAGCCCCGUACACAAAAGCGCAUGUGCUGUGAGCUCGAUGAGUAGGGCGGGACACGUGGUAUCCUGUCUGAAUAUGGGGGGACCAUCCUCCAAGGCUAAAUACUCCUGACUGACCGAUAGUGAACCAGUACCGUGAGGGAAAGGCGAAAAGAACCCCGGCGAGGGGAGUGAAAAAGAACCUGAAACCGUGUACGUACAAGCAGUGGGAGCCCCACCACUAAGCCAGUGGUGAACUCCACAUACGCAUCCUUUGCUGAGGAUACGGUUAACGGAGCGAAAGCGACGUUCAACCUCAAAAGAAGCAGAGGGGGCUUAGUGGUGGGGUGACUGCGUACCUUUUGUAUAAUGGGUCAGCGACUUAUAUUCUGUAGCAAGGUUAACCGAAUAGGGGAGCCGGAGGGAAACCGAGUCUUAACCGGGCGUUAAGUUGCAGGGUAUAGACCCGAAACCCGGUGAUCUAGCCAUGGGCAGGUUGAAGGUUGGGUAACACUAACUGGAGGACCGAACCGACUAAUGUUGAAAAAUUAGCGGAUGACCUGUGGCUGGGGGUGAAAGGCCAAUCAAACCGGGAGAUAGCUGGUUCUCCCCGAAAGCUAUUUAGGUAGCGCCUCGUGAAUUCAUCUCCGGGGGUAGAGCACUGUUUCGGCUAGGGGGCCAUCCCGGCUUACCAACCCGAUGCAAACUGCGAAUACCGGAGAAUGUUAUCACGGGAGACACACGGCGGGUGCUAACGUCCGUCGUGAAGAGGGAAACAACCCAGACCGCCAGCUAAGGUCCCAAAGUCAUGGUUAAGUGGGAAACGAUGUGGGAAGGCCCAGACAGCCAGGAUGUUGGCUUAGAAGCAGCCAUCAUUUAAAGAAAGCGUAAUAGCUCACUGGUCGAGUCGGCCUGCGCGGAAGAUGUAACGGGGCUAAACCAUGCACCGAAGCUGCGGCAGCGACGCUUAUGCGUUGUUGGGUAGGGGAGCGUUCUGUAAGCCUGUGAAGGUGGCCUGUGAGGGUUGCUGGAGGUAUCAGAAGUGCGAAUGCUGACAUAAGUAACGAUAAAGCGGGUGAAAAGCCCGCUCGCCGGAAGACCAAGGGUUCCUGUCCAACGUUAAUCGGGGCAGGGUGAGUCGACCCCUAAGGCGAGGCCGAAAGGCGUAGUCGAUGGGAAACGGGUUAAUAUUCCCGUACUUGGUGUUACUGCGAAGGGGGGACGGAGAAGGCUAUGUUGGCCGGGCGACGGUUGUCCCGGUUUAAGCGUGUAGGUGUGUGUUCCAGGUAAAUCCGGUUCACUUUAACACUGAGGCGUGACGACGAGGCACUACGGUGCUGAAGCAACAAAUGCCCUGCUUCCAGGAAAAGCCUCUAAGCAUCAGGUAACAUCAAAUCGUACCCCAAACCGACACAGGUGGUCAGGUAGAGAAUACCAAGGCGCUUGAGAGAACUCGGGUGAAGGAACUAGGCAAAAUGGUGCCGUAACUUCGGGAGAAGGCACGCUGACACGUAGGUGAAGUGAUUUACUCACGGAGCUGAAGUCAGUCGAAGAUACCAGCUGGCUGCAACUGUUUAUUAAAAACACAGCACUGUGCAAACACGAAAGUGGACGUAUACGGUGUGACGCCUGCCCGGUGCCGGAAGGUUAAUUGAUGGGGUCAGCGCAAGCGAAGCUCCUGAUCGAAGCCCCGGUAAACGGCGGCCGUAACUAUAACGGUCCUAAGGUAGCGAAAUUCCUUGUCGGGUAAGUUCCGACCUGCACGAAUGGCGUAAUGAUGGCCAGGCUGUCUCCACCCGAGACUCAGUGAAAUUGAACUCGCUGUGAAGAUGCAGUGUACCCGCGGCAAGACGGAAAGACCCCGUGAACCUUUACUAUAGCUUGACACUGAACAUUGAGCCUUGAUGUGUAGGAUAGGUGGGAGGCUUUGAAGUGUGGACGCCAGUCUGCAUGGAGCCGACCUUGAAAUACCACCCUUUAAUGUUUGAUGUUCUAACGUGGACCCGUAAUCCGGGUUGCGGACAGUGUCUGGUGGGUAGUUUGACUGGGGCGGUCUCCUCCUAAAGAGUAACGGAGGAGCACGAAGGUUGGCUAAUCCUGGUCGGACAUCAGGAGGUUAGUGCAAUGGCAUAAGCCAGCUUGACUGCGAGCGUGACGGCGCGAGCAGGUGCGAAAGCAGGUCAUAGUGAUCCGGUGGUUCUGAAUGGAAGGGCCAUCGCUCAACGGAUAAAAGGUACUCCGGGGAUAACAGGCUGAUACCGCCCAAGAGUUCAUAUCGACGGCGGUGUUUGGCACCUCGAUGUCGGCUCAUCACAUCCUGGGGCUGAAGUAGGUCCCAAGGGUAUGGCUGUUCGCCAUUUAAAGUGGUACGCGAGCUGGGUUUAGAACGUCGUGAGACAGUUCGGUCCCUAUCUGCCGUGGGCGCUGGAGAACUGAGGGGGGCUGCUCCUAGUACGAGAGGACCGGAGUGGACGCAUCACUGGUGUUCGGGUUGUCAUGCCAAUGGCACUGCCCGGUAGCUAAAUGCGGAAGAGAUAAGUGCUGAAAGCAUCUAAGCACGAAACUUGCCCCGAGAUGAGUUCUCCCUGAGACUUUAGGUCUCCUGAAGGAACGUUGAAGACGACGACGUUGAUAGGCCGGGUGUGUAAGCGCAGCGAUGCGUUGAGCUAACCGGUACUAAUGAACCGUGAGGCUUAACCUUACAACGCCGAAG
rnacentral:rRNA from 1 species